rnacentral:lncRNA from 1 species
CAUACACUUUCUCUACUCCCAAAUUGGAAGAGAAUUCACACCACACCAAAGCCUUGAAGCCUCGAAACUCUAAAGCUUUCAAGCAAAUUCCGAAGAAUCAAGAAAGCCUUCUUCGUUCUUCGUCAAAAUCCUCCUUCAAGAUCAAGCCCCAACGGCCCUUGAAUAAACUUCCACUAAUUCAAGAUCAACCCCCGACGGCCCUCGAAGAAAGUGUUCAUCAUUCAUCAUCCGUUCAUCCUAAAGAUCAAGCCCCGACGGCCCUUUGGAUCAACAACAACAAAUCUACCCAUUACAAAGAUAGAAUCAGAGGCUAAAUUUGUAGAAGAGAUUGUAACCCCUAAAUCAUUAAUACAAAUAUUAUUUUGUACACGUUGUUCUUGUUUC